rnacentral:lncRNA from 1 species
UUUUUUUUUUUUGGGUAAUUGCAAGUUUAUAUUUUUUAUUUGGUUCUUCGAGCUCUAGACACUGUGGGUACGUAUCUAUUUUCUUGGGUCUUAUGCUUUCUAAAUGCUUUACUGUUGAUUGUGUCUGAAAGAUUCAAUUUGGCUUGUUUGAGCCUAAGAUUCAAUUAGCCUUGGGCAUGUGGUGUUGUUUGUUGGGCAAAAUGUCAGCAUAGAGUUUACUGAAAUUUCAAAUUAAUUGGACUUAAUUAGACACUAGGUGAAAAUGAUUUUUAGCUUUAUGAACAUUAUUUGGUCCAUUAGCUUAAUAAGGUCAUUCUCUCAGGCUGGAUUUUUGUCUCUGUUUUCCCCAUUAUGUUCAGUUUUGCUGGUCAUAUUGUUCUUGAUGCAUGUACAGAAUCAUUCUAUAUGAAAACUGAGUCUAUGAAUUGUUAAGUCCUUCAAAUACAGGUUCUUUUGUAGAGCAUCGUCCCAGACUUAUACUCAGGUUAAUAAU